rnacentral:rRNA from 1 species
AUUGAACGCUGGCGGCAGGCCUAACACAUGCAAGUCGAACGAGUGGCGGACGGGUGAGUAAUGUCUGGGAAACUGCCCGAUGGAGGGGGAUAACUACUGGAAACGGUAUCUAAUACCGCAUACCAUCGGAUGUGCCCAGAUGGGAUUAGCUAGUAGGUGGGGUAAUGGCUCACCUAGGCGACGAUCCCUAGCUGGUCUGAGAGGAUUACCAGCCACACUGAAACUGUGACACGGUCCAGACUCCUACGGGAGUCAGCAGUGUGGAAUAUUGCCAAAUGGGCGAAAGCCUGAUGCAGCAAUGCCGAGUGUAUGAAGAAGGCCUUCGGGUUGUAAAGUACUUUCAGCGAGGAGGCGUUACUCGCAGAAGAAGCACCGGCUAACUCCGUGCCAGCAGACGCGGUGAUUC